GAUGAAGAACGUAGCGAAAUGCGAUAAGUAGUGUGAAUUGCAGAAUUCAGUGAAUCAUCGAAUCUUCGAACGCACAUUGCGCCUCCUGGUAUUCCGGGAGGCAUGCCUGUUCGAGCGUCAUUAAAAUCACUCAAGCUUAGGUUUGCCUAUUGCUUGGUCUUGAAGAUAGAAGCUAAGUAAUUAGAAUCCUCUUCGAAAUCCAAUGGCGAAGACCCUUGCUCUCCCAAGUGUAGUAAUAACUUAUUCACUGAAGGAAGCGAGUAAUCUUCCGCCGUAACCCCCAUAUUUUCUAUGAUUGACCUCGGAUCAGGUAGGGAUACCCGCUGAACUUAAGCAUAUCAAUAAGCGGAGGA
rnacentral:misc_RNA from 1 species